CGGAGGCCGGUGGGUGACGUCAGCGGCGGGGGCUGGCGCACGGUGCCGGUGCGCCGGGCCGAGCAGAGCCGAGCGGAGCCGAAGGGAGCCGAGCGGAGCCGGAGUGGGGCUGAGACCCGCGGAGGGACAACCAGACUGUGCGGCACAGGGAAUUCCAUCAAGCUGUAAAGAUCUGAUGACACUUGGCUUCGCUCACAACAGACAUAGAAGGGGAAGGUGUUGGAACUGCAAACAUGGAAGCCUGCUAUGCUGAAUGCAGCCAAUAAAGUGAGUUUUGAUCUGCAAAACAUUUGCUGCCGUUGAGAUUUCUAUCAGCUGAUGGGGAAGAUGAGGUCUGCCUAUACCAAAAAGGGAGCGAUGAGAAGGGUGAAGCUUUGCUGACCACUGGGGACCGUGGCCAGUGCCUGGAUGCACUUCACUGGUGGGGAAAAC
rnacentral:lncRNA from 1 species